UGAACAUGUUACUGCUAAAGAGAAGAUCUGCACAAGGACAUCGAACUGUUAGCUGUGAGUAUACGUCUAUAUUACUUACCCGGAGAGUUUACCUGUUUUA